UUGUGUUUAAUAAAAUUUCUCUCUGGAUCUUCUCGAUCCUUCUCUCAACUACCCCUUUCUCUCUCUUGUUUCUCUCACUAUACUCUCCAUGAUUCUUCAGUUUAAUGUUAACGUGAUCUUCUCGAUCCUUCUCUCAACUACCCCUUUCUCUCUCUUGUUUCUCUCACUAUACUCUCCAUGAUUCUUCAGUAUAAUCUUAACGUUUUCAUGGUAUCAUAGCCUAGAAGAUGAUCCAACUAUACUUUUCUGCAUCUUGUUAUCUUGGUUGAAGUCUCGUUUGAGAUUUUUGGGGGUGUUUUCUGACGUAUGUGGUCGAUGACGAUUCCGAUCUAAAUCGGAUAUUUUUCUGAGACUUUCAUCGCGAUAUCUGAGUAUAUCUUCUUCACUCAAACGUUUUGGGAGAUUUUCUGGUGACUUUUGGGUGAUUUCUCGGUGACUCUCCGGCUUCUGGGUUUCUGGUGGUUGAACCUAAGGUUUUACUGCUAUCCGGUGGCUCGAUCCUCACUCAGUGGAUGUUUUGGGUGACUUUCCGAUAUCCCUGACCAUAUUUCCAGUAAGGUUUUCGACGGUUGCACCUAGGGUUUUGGACCUAUGGUCUUCUGUGUUGAUUGAAGGCCAAUCUUCUCCGGUCACGAAAAGGAGGGUAACCCUGUCCUUAUUUUGAGUAUUGUAUGCUUUGUGUGUGACUAUCUAAUUCCGUAUGUGAGUAUCUGGUUCCCUUAUAUUUUGCUUGUUGAAACUGUUUUUCUUUCAAGCUGGUUCAUUAAUCAUGGCUUCUAACAACACUGCUGGUACCUCCUCCUUGGUAGACUCUACCAGCCCCCUCUUUGUAUACUCUUCUGAUGUCCCUGGGGUCUCUCUUGUCCCCACUCCCUUCUCGGGUAGUGGUUAUGGGGGUUGG
rnacentral:lncRNA from 1 species